UUUAAUAACGUGGAUGGGGCGACUAGAUCUAAAAAGGACUGGAAUAGAGGUGGGUGGUCGGGCGUGGGUGGGUUGUCGGGAGUAUGGUCGGGACACAGAGCCAACGGGGGCAAAGUCGAUGUGAGAGUUCGGUUCAGCGGCCACUAAACCGGGUGCUGCAUUGGUAAGGCCGCCCCCUCUAGGUGUCCUUAGUACAGACUGCGGCCUUCAACACUACCCCGGCGUCGGAGACCCCUACGUCAACUACUGUUGUAAGUACCUGUCGGUGUUGUUCGAUUACUUCUUGUCCGUAGAGGACGAGGUUGAAGAGCUUAAAGUCAGUCUUUCCGUCAUCUUCAUUAGGUCUGUAAACUGCUUAUGUUCGCCACCGAGUAAUGACUUUAACCCAAACCUCCUUACGAUUUCGAUGGGAACGAGGUCUUCGAAUUAGAAUUCAAAUCGCGGACCUGAUACUCGUUCCAGACGCAACUCGGAGCUCGCUAACAAGACAGUCUUUGCUUCUAUGAUUUCAAAAAACGCCUUCUGUAGGUGUUCCAAAAACCGUAGGGCACACCUGUGACCUCACAAUUUCCCGCGCUACCAAAGUAGUUCGGUCUUCGCCAUUGUAAGUAUUUCUCCUGCGAUCCCUACCUGUCCUGCCCUCACGUAUCGGACGCACGCCGGCUCCUUAAGGAAGAGGCACUGUAUAGGCUCCGAAGGUCGUUCUACCUCUUCCUAACGAAAGUCUAACGUAAACAGUAAAAACAAUACCCGGUACACGACCAUGGAUCUUGUUUUGUACUAAUACCGUGGUAUCUGAUGACCCCACGCAACCGUUUAUGCCUCUUGUAUAGUGUUAAGUUAACCACACUCAAACAUGAACUCAAGAACGAACUCCGUCAGGCCGCCGAAUUCUUACUAUACUACCUGUUGUUAUACUUGUGGUUAGACCAACCAACGGUGAACAAAAAGGUCUAAAAGAAGGAACUGUUACAGCUGGAACCUUAAAAGUUGUUCUUGGUGUUACAAGAAGGAGCGUAAUCACUGAAACUAGUCUGGUUGUAGUUCUUGUACUAUUGUUACCGCUGACUGUAACCCUUCCCGGGAUGCAGGAUGAGCUUUACGUACUAAGCAGUCCCAUGACUAGAUACGAUACGAGCAACGUUGUAACGACUAACGUGACUCUCUUGAAGGUUGGUCGGUCAACUUCCGCCGUUAUACCUCCUUCUACAAACGUUCAAGUGCUUGCUGUCCUUACUAAGUCGAGUACAUAGAAGAAGUCGUCGGCCGUUGGAUUACCUACAUGUAUGUGGUGAUGGAUACGAACCUGGUUACCUGAAAUAUCUCGUGUACACCUCGGCUAUGGGGUCAGACCCUACUCAACUCAAAAUAUGAUUUCCUCGUCUUACGGUUUACGGUCGCACUUUAGUUGUGGCGGGCGCGUUUAUACGUCCGUCUGUACUAGUUUAAGCACCUGUUUGAUUACCGUAGUUAGUCGUUCUCCACGUAGACGAUAUGGCGAUCUCCCAAAUGACUGACAGGCCGUUCUCGUCAUCUAUGUAAAGGUCAACUAUGUGAUUCCUGACGCUAACCUGUCUUUUAUGGUCCUCAGUCCGAGCUAUACAGACGUACGUUUCUACCGUUGAAACCUGGCUCAUAGGUACCGCUACUGGUCAGUCCGGCCGAGGUCUUGUUCUCCAGUGCUGUACUACUUCCUCGUCAGCGUUGUUACUGUAGAGUCUAUGAAGUCAAACGUUCCGUAUGUGACGUCCGAUAGUCGUUUUACAAAUAACUGAACGGCCUACUGCCGUCGUGGUGACGUAAACCUGUCUUCCGUCUCCCUGAAGGAUCUUCUUUUAUACAUAAGUCUAGACCUAAGGUCUGUCUGGGUACCCAGUCCCCAGACAGGGCGAUGGUGGCGUUUGCAUACAAACGGUUGUUAAUCUUCCCAAGAAACGAUGCAGUGGCGGUCUUCUUGAUACGUCCUUAAAAGAACACGUACUCUUGGGCUCCAAGAAUGCUUAUUGCCCAAGUCGCAACUUUUCGGUCCAACAACUUCUACUCGAUUAGCUGGUACUCCACUACAGUCAGUAAUAGUCUUCCAUAACGGUCAGACUAGUCCUUCGUCUGUUUGUGAGGGGUAUGAAUUGUACCUCUGUGGGUUGACUUGGCCUUAAAAGCUGUUACCAUGAUAGCCUAAUACUAAUGGAUGUAACCACAGUUAGGUCUUUCGUAACACACGGCUGCGUGAGUUUAUACUGUAGUGUAGUCGAGUCAACAAGAAGUGCGGCCAGGGUGCCGGGCUUCCUACCUAACAUCAAAAGACCCUGUACCAUUGGGCGGAGUACAAACAAUAACUAGGUUACAUGUCGUUCUCUUCGGUUGGUGACUGGUGAGUCGUCUCUCUGCUCUAAUAUCGAACCUUCAAUGUACUACGGAACGAGUAAACGAAUUUACUCAUAAUACGACCGACCGGGCACUCCUUUCUACCAACCUUUCAGUGGAAGGGGCGUGAACGACUAUCGUAAAAGAGAGCAUUACUUUGACCUCGAACACAGUAGGUAUAACGGGAGGUAAAGCUACCCUUUUUCGACUUCUACGGGGAGUGGUUCGUGUGUUAUAGCUUCCACUUCACCCUUUGCGACAUGCUCACGUACUUCAACGUCCCUUUAAAGAGUGGGGUACGUGCACUACGAGACACCGCGGAAGAACGUGGUAGCCUGUUAUAUAGACUCCUUCUAACUGAGUCGUUUGAGAUGGCAGAGUGUCCCCAGGUACUGGUUGUUACAGGAGAGGAGCUGUAGGUGCUGUAUAUCACUCAUCGAUAGGUAGUAACCUUGACCAUCGUACUCGACGUAUAGGCUUCAUUAUCCGUUAUCGGCUCGCGGAGUAUUGAGUAGGAACAUAAGUACUUAAGCUUCAGGUUUAGCAUACUGGAUAUGUACUCUCGUUCGACGGGCUUCUGCGUUGUUUAAUAACGUUCGUGGCGUUAAAUAGUAAAUUUCCUCGAAGCUACUACAGUACAACAUGACUUUAUAAUACUAAAGGAAGGUGUAGGCGGAGUAGUAUACACAGUAUGAGACCUUGACCUUUCAGCGAGGGGUGGAGAAGUUGUUGUAUUGGUACUCAGGUCUGUCGUUAAACGUUUUAAAGACUAACUACGCGACCCCAGCGUAAUAAAGGUUUAAGUCAGGGUCUCUGGUACCGAAGAAGUACGGCUCAGUGGCACUGAAGAGGUAGACGAGAAAGUCGUAGAAGCUGUUGAGACACUUAUUACGCCGAGGGUUCCGCAGGUAACGGUAGCAGUCCAGGUUGGUUACGUAGAAGUAAUAGUGGACGUUUGUUGACUUUCAAACCGUUAUGUCCUAAAGUCAAGAAGGUAGCGGUUGAAGUGAUACCUCAAUUUUACAUAAGUUGUAUAAAAAUAUUGAAUGACGUGAUCGACAAGGUAGGUAAUCUCCCACGGUGUAGGUAUAAGCGACGUGGUACAUCGGAUGUCCGGACCAGACGUUAUGGUAAAGCGUAAAACGUUUGUUACAGUCGUCCAUACAAUCUGUUAUAAUGAGAUUAAAGUCACUUCAUCAUCAAGUUAAUGACCCAUUAUAGGACCCAACAGAGAGAGAUCGACCUAGUUAAAGGAGUGAUAACCCGACCUCAUUCGUGUUUAAGAACCCUCGUCUAAACUGACAUUCGAGCGUCCGGGUAUCAGGUGGGUUAGGUCGACUUGUAUGACAUUUUUGUUUAGGUUGAUACAGUCAGUGAGUAAACUAAGUCAUUAUUAUACUUACUCAUGUCGAACGUCACAUUUACGG
rnacentral:rRNA from 1 species